UUGAGCCUAUGGCUUCAUGCAUGCUAAACAGGAAGUCAACCACUGAGCUACGGGGCUGGGCUAAUUCUUUAAACCAUUUACUUUUUAUGAACCUGCACGUGAGGCUAAUCCUUUGUCCUGACGUUGCUUCCUUUGACCAGUUUAGUUUUGUUUUUCUCACUUCAGUUUCUGGGCUCCGUGUUUCAUUAGAGGCACUAGAGUGAGGGCAUGAGAUAAUAGUCUUUUUCUUUUUUUCUUGUUUUAAAGAUUUAUUUUUAUGGUAUGGAUGCUUUGCUUACAUGUAUGGAGGCAUUAGAUCCUCCAGAGCUAGAGUUACAGACAGUUCUGAACCAUCACGUGAGUGCUAGAAACUGAACCCCUGGUCUUCUGCAAGAGCAAGAAGUGUUCUUAAUUGCUGAGUCAUCUCUCUAAGUCCAUUUGUGUUGUUUGUUUUGUUGUUGUUGUUUUGAGGCAGGAUCAUAUAUAACCUAGAUUGGCCCUAAAUGUCCUUUGUUUGUUUGGGAUUUUUUUUUUUUUUGGAGGGGGGGCGAUUGAGACGGUUUCUCUGUGUAGACUUGGCUGCCCUGGAACUCACUCUGUAGACCAGACCGGCCUUGAACUCAGAGAUCUGCCUCCCGAGUGCUGGGAUCAAAGGUUUACAACAUGCCAUGGAGGGAAGCCAAAGCAGAGACUCGAAACAGUAGAGUGAAGCAGAAACCAUGAAGGAAAACUUCAUUCCUGGCUUUCUCUCUGGCUUUUGCUCAGCCAGCUUUCUCAUACAUCCAAAGAUCAUCUGCCUAGGCAAGGUACCACUCACAGUGGGCUGGCACCUCUUACAUCAAUUAGCAAUUAAAAAAAAUCCCCAUAAACAGGCAAUACUUCAGUUGAGCUGAGGUUCCUUCUUUCCAUAAAUGUCAAGUUAUACUAAAAAUUAACCAGAGCCUGAUCUGAUUGUCCAACUAUAAGAUAUCAAGUGACCAUCAUGAAGGUGUUAUCUUAUUGGGAUCAAACAAAUGAGACUUAUCCUAAGUACUGUCAUCUUGUUUCAGUUUUCAGACUCUAUUUUAAAGAUCAUAAGGUGAAAUUAAGUUAAAGUUUCCAGGCUCUAGGGAAGCUCUCCAGAUGGCUAGCUAAUUUCUUCCUUGUUCUUAUUUUGUUCCUAAAAACCUAAUGAUUAUUCCUAACCAUGAUAGAAUAAAUGAUUCUGAUUAAUGGAAAAUUGUGACUGCAACAUGGCACAGAUAUUUAUGAAUUUCAGGCUUAAAAACUCUGUAACAUUCUGGCUUGGGGUCACAGUUCAGCUCCUGAGUUUGUUCUGUUGCCCUGCUUGAUUAAUAGAGGCCUGAGUACAAUAAAUUUUUGUCAUCUGCUUACAUAGUUACUAAGAUAAAUGUUUGAAGAUGCAGGUAGCUCCUGAAUCUGUGAUAUUACCUCUGACUGGUCAGGUUUUUGCUGCCUAAUUCAAAUAAAGACCUUGCUUUGCUGGA